UUACUUACCUGGAUGGGGUCAAUGGAUGAUCAUAAAGGUCCAUGGCCUAGGCAAGUGUCCUCCAUUGCACUUAGGAGGGGUGCUUGCCUAAGGUCUACCCAAGUGGUAGAGCCUACAUCAUAAUUUGUUGCUGUGGGGGCUUGCGUUCGCGCAGCCCCUUC
rnacentral:snRNA from 1 species